UGCAUUUCUCAAUUCCUUUCUUGAU
rnacentral:piRNA from 1 species